UACGGAGGGUGCAAGCGUUGUUCGGAAUCAUUGGGCGUAAAGCGCGUGUAGGCGGUGAAUUAAGUCUGAUGUGAAAGCCCGGGGCUCAACCCCGGAAGUGCAUUGGAUACUGGUUCACUAGAGGGUGAGAGAGGGAAGUGGAAUUCCUGGUGUAGGGGGGAAAUCCGUAGAUAUCAGGAGGAACAUCAGAGGCGAAGGCGGCUUCCUGGCUCGGUACUGACGCUGAGGCGCGAAAGCGUCGGGAGCAAACAGG
rnacentral:rRNA from 1 species